UUAUCACAACAAACAUUUUCCGCGCCUGCCCAUUAAAACACACUUCCCAUUUUCCAAUGAGAGCACACACACCGAAAAGGAACACAAACAAAAAAAAAUAUCAAAACGAGAGCAUGAAAAAUGCCACUAUUCAAAAUUGGAAAGCUAGAAAAUUGUUGAAAGGAAAAGUUUUCAGUGGAGUAUCGGCCACCGUCCAAAGCGUAUCUCGAUAACGGUAAAUAAGAAAAGAAAAAAAAAGAAAAAAUACAUACAUAAAACGGUUCUUGGGAAUUUCAUUGAUUGUGUGAAAGUAUGCAUAAUACAAAAUUGUGAAAACGUGCAAACUUGUAAUUAAUUCAAAAGAAUUUAAAUUUACAAUCGACAGCGGAAAGAAAUUUCUCGAUACGUGAAGUGCAAGUGAAGUGUUGAAAUGCAUUAAUGAUUACACUAUAAAUUUAGAUUUAAAAUUAAUUUAAAUAAGUGAAAAGUAAAAUAAAAUAGUUUUUAAUCAUUGCAAAGAAGAUCUUAAAAAAGUGCAACAUGAAGAAAUUAAAGUGUAGUGAUAAAUUGUUAGAUAAAAAUAAAAAUAAUAAUUUUAUUUGAUUUUUGUACUAAAAUUAAAUAUUAAAAUUUUAAAUGCAAAGUUAUAAUUAUAAUUUUAUUUGCUAUAUGAAGUGAAUAAAAAUGUUAAAAGAAAAAAACAAUACCUAUUGUAUUUUAUAUAUAAGUUAAGUUAUUAAAUGCUUACACUCUAUUUAAAAAAAUAAUAUACGUUCCUCUUGAAUAAUAAACCAUAUUAAGAUAAACUACUACUACUUACUAUUGCUACUACUACUACUGCUAUAACUAGACACACACACACACACACAGAAGCCGUCUCAACAAAACCAAAUUGGAUUUGAAUAAAAUAUUACAUUUUGCCACGGAAUCGAUUUCCGUACUAGUUAACUUAACUGAUUAAUAAGAUGUCAUCGCAUAACAAGCCUUUAUGGUCCUCGUCAGCUGGCAUGGGUUAGCUUUAAUUAAACUGAUUGCAGUUCUAUACCUACACCUCCUCUAUAUAUACAUAUAUACAGUACAUAUUAUACAAAACCCCUUUUUCCAUUCAUUCAACAAUAAUACGGAAAGGAACUCGUGUUGUAUACGUAUAAUAUCGAUUCCGAGACGCCACCGCUGCGCCGUCACCCGCAUUCAACCAUACGUGAUUUCAAGAAGACAUGACGAAGUGUUGGCUGAACAAUAGUUGCUGCAGGGGCAAUCAUCCACGUCGAAUAAAGCAAGUUAUCGUAGCUAAAGCAGAAAGCAUCAAUAGCCAGCGUUUUUACACUUUUUUUCAAAUUAUCACCGAUAUAAAAGAAUCUUCAGUAAGGAGCUGAAUAAUAGGGAUGAUUGAUUCGAUGUAGCGUAGCGGCCCUAUGGUCGGCGAACGCGAUAGAGACCGUGAAGCGGUGCGCUGGGAACUGGGCGAGUCUACACCGCCCCAAUACAAUAAUGGAGGAUCACAAAUGGUCGGAACAUUGUGUGGUGGACAGGCUGUUGGCCAACAGCAACAACAAUUACAGCAGCAACAGCAACAGCAACAGAAGCACCAUCAACAACAACAGCAACAGCAACAACAUCAAUACUACCAACAGCAGCAACAGACGACGAACUGGGUGGAAAACGAGACGAUUGGAAGCGGUGGAAGCGAUAAUCAGCCAUACUACGAUACGAGUGGGAAUGUGGACUGGGCCCGGGCCAUGGGCACUGGCGGCGCUGGUUCUUACGGAUGUGGUACCAGCGUCGGUGGCAUUACAGCUGGUGGCAGCAGUAGCAAUUUGGGUCGCUACGAUCCGGCUAUUGGUUACAUCGAGACUGGCAACACCAGUCUCGGUGGCGAUACGAACAAUCUGUCAUACGGUACAUCGGUGGCGAACACCAACACCAACACCGGUGGCGGUGGAGCGGGCACCACCAGCGGUAGCGGUGGUGGUGGCGGGUCCACUGGCAAAGAGGUACGCUACGCUCCAUUCCCCAUUACAUCGCCGACCAACUCGAACCCCACAACUUCCCAGCCACCCGCACUUCUACAACGGACACAUUCCAGAUCCAUGUCCUCCAUACCACCACCUGAACCAUUUAUGAUAGCACAGUCCAAACAGAUGAACACGCGCGUUUCGAUCAACGUGGGCGGCGUCAAGCACGAAGUUCUCUGGCGGACGCUCGAGCGUCUGCCGCACACAAGACUUGGCCGCCUGCGCGAAUGCACCACACACGAAUCCAUAACGGAAUUAUGCGAUGAUUAUUCCUUAGUUGACAACGAAUAUUUUUUCGAUAGACAUCCGAAAAGUUUUAGUUCGAUUUUAAAUUUCUACCGCACCGGUAAGCUGCACAUCGUGGACGAGAUGUGUGUGCUUGCCUUCAGCGAUGAUCUCGAGUAUUGGGGCGUCGAUGAACUCUAUCUGGAGUCGUGCUGCCAGCAUAAAUACCACCAGCGUAAAGAGAACGUCCACGAGGAAAUGCGCAAGGAGGCUGAAAGUCUGCGGCAACGGGACGAAGAGGAAUUCGGCGAAGGUAAAUGCGCAGAGUAUCAGAAAUAUUUGUGGGAAUUGCUGGAAAAGCCUAACACUAGUUUUGCGGCCAGGGUAAUCGCGGUGAUAUCAAUCCUGUUUAUAGUCCUGUCUACCAUAGCCCUGACGUUGAACACCUUACCACAACUACAAACCGAUCAUAAUGGUACACCUCAGGAUAAUCCGCAAUUGGCUAUGGUUGAGGCCGUCUGUAUAUCGUGGUUUACAUUAGAGUACGUACUUAGAUUUAGUGCAUCGCCGGAUAAGUGGAAGUUUUUCAAAGGCGGCCUUAACAUAAUAGACCUAUUGGCAAUACUCCCAUAUUUUGUGUCCCUAUUUCUAUUGGAAACAAAUAAAAAUGCAACGGACCAGUUCCAGGAUGUGCGCCGGGUGGUGCAAGUAUUUCGCAUCAUGCGCAUCCUGCGAAUCCUUAAGCUGGCCCGUCAUUCUACGGGCCUGCAGUCAUUAGGCUUUACGCUACGUAACUCAUAUAAGGAACUCGGUCUACUAAUGCUGUUCUUGGCAAUGGGCGUUCUCAUAUUUUCUUCGCUAGCAUAUUUUGCUGAAAAGGAUGAGCCACAAACAAAAUUCGUUUCGAUUCCGGAAACAUUUUGGUGGGCGGGUAUUACAAUGACAACUGUUGGCUACGGGGACAUCUAUCCCACUACUGCACUGGGAAAGGUUAUUGGUACUGUGUGUUGCAUAUGCGGUGUUCUGGUAAUCGCUUUGCCUAUUCCCAUCAUCGUUAACAAUUUUGCCGAAUUUUAUAAGAAUCAGAUGCGCAGAGAGAAGGCCCUCAAGCGGCGCGAGGCCCUAGACCGCGCCAAGCGUGAAGGCAGCAUUGUGUCGUUUCAUCAUAUUAAUUUGAAAGAUGCCUUUGCCAAGAGUAUGGAUCUCAUCGAUGUUAUAGUUGAUACAGAAAAACGAGAAAGUCGUAGCAAAUCCAUUUCGAAUUGGCAACGGCUGACUCAAGCGAUACGGCGCUCACCCACAGGGCACAAUAUUUCGCAAACAGAUGGGAACAGCACCGAAGGGGAAUCUUCCAUGGGCAAAAAUCCAGCGACCACAGGACCCGGAUGUUACAAGAGCUUCGAUCAUGUUGCAUCUCUUAGGCAUUCAAACAUGUCACAACAUCAUCGUUCAUCAGUACCUGAUACAGAUGCAGUUCCGCCAUAUUCAGUAGAGAAUCAAAGCCAGAAAACUUCAAUGAACGCUAUGGAAACUUAUCAGCAGCAGCAGCAACAACAACAACAACAGAAACAAAGACAAUUACAGCAACUACAGCAGUUACAACUUCUGCAACAGAAAGAAAAAGAUCCUGAACAGCAAGCACUUCAACUUGUGGAACCCGGCGGUGCCGGCGCUGCUGGUGUCGUCGGCGAAGACGACCGAACUCUACCUGAAGCAGCCCAAAUGAUGGUCACUCCAGGGGAGGUAGCCGAACUUCGACGUCAAGUCGCACUAGAAAAUUUACAAAACCAAAGGAUGGACAAUCUCGAACAGGACGUCCCAACGGAAUUCGAAUGUUGCUUUUGCACUACAAAGGAUUUCAAAGAAUUUACAGAUGCCGAAGGGGUUAUUUCACUUCCAACAUCAGACUUCCAUAAACCCAUUUGUUUAGAAAUGCGUUCAUUGCAAUCCAGUCAAUCGAAUCAAUUGAAAUUACUGGCACCACCACCGCCGAUUCCACCGCACCCAUCGGCGGCAUCGCUUAUGGCCAAUGGUGACAGCAGUAUACUACUGCCAUCCGAUAUGACCUCUGUAUCAGCAAUCACUACGGUAGCCUCAUCAUCGUCUGCAUCGUAUGGCACAACUACAACAACCGUUGCCCUACCACUGGAAACUCCAUUACGUUACGCGCCUUUCAUUAGCAAUAAUAUUAAUAUUAGUACUAAUAACUUUAACAAUAAUUACAAUAAUAAUUUUAAUAGUAUAUCAACGGGAGUAGCAAACACCGCCAACAAUAACGUUAACAAUAACUACAAUAACAAUGCCGAUUUGGCAAGCGUUGAUAGCUCCGAUACGUACGCCAGUUGCCAAACGCAUCCAUUUUUGUCACAAGCCGAUCUCACAUCGGAUUUGGCCGACGAAGCGUGUGCUCUCGACAUCGACAUGGACAAUCUGUACAUAAAUCCGUUGGAAAAGGACACACAACAACAGGGUGUGGCAACUUCGACGACAACUGGAAUGAUUCGAUCGCAAGUCAAAAAGAGUGCUUCUGGUGACACUGCACUGCGGAACUUGGGUGGGGGCGUCAGUCCGAUGGAUGACGUUUUUCAAAAUUUCGAUGUUCAGGAUCGUGGCAGUAGGGUAAGUUUGAAUGAAACGCCAGUGCCAAAGCAUCGUAAGACACGAUUCCAACAAAGUUCAAAGCCGCGUGCCAGAUUCGAAGAUACCAAAAAACUAUCGCAGGAGAGUCUGUCCACUCAGGACGGCAGCGUUAAGAAAAAGCGUUCGUCAUUCAUGCCGGCCAAAAGUCUGGCAACAGCUACUAAAUUAAUUAAUCAGCAUCUGUUUGGUAUUCAAAAUGUUGGAUCUAGAGCGAAAUUCGAAAGUAGACAUUCGUCAUCGAUUGAUUCGAUUGAUGCAUCGCCAAAUUUGGAGCAUCAUCGGCGUUCCAAGUCGAUUCUAAAGAAUAAAUCGGAUGUGUCGAGAGUUCUAGCCGACCCUGAAAGUGAGCGGUUGCUUGCGGAUAAUAUGUCAGGAUCGGGAGUUUCCGAUAAUGGCACUGUUAUGUGUGAAUCUGGAAGCGAUUACUCACCGAACAAAUUACCUCACUCAGUUUUAGCAAAAUCAAUAUCCCCACCUCCUCUUAGGCAUCGAACAUUAAUACAACAACGCUCAGGACCAGCAACACUGCAAUCCAAGCCGACUAAAUUCCAAACGCCACGUUAUCCAGAAGAGCAACAACUAAGGCACGUCAAGCCCGUACUAUCACGAUCAUCGGGUACGUCCCAAUUAGCUGACUCACGAUAUGAUUCAGCAAAUAGAGACAGUAGUUUAGAUUUUGUUUGAAGAAGAUGGAUGUUCAAAUCCUUAAAAAAAACUGUUUUUGAAUUCAUUAGCUUAUCAAUAAAAUAUUCAUACAAAUUGGCUAAACUUUCAAAAAUUAAUGUAUUUGAUCUUAGUUAUGGAUGAAUGGAAUUCAUUGUCAAUUUCUACAAUUCAGAUUCAGAAACGACGUUCACAUCGAACGUUAAUAUUCGCGAUGAAAGUGGCGAAGGUGGUGGCUCAAGUGAUGAAAAUCGUUCACUUAUCCAGCGAGGUAACUCUUAUGAGAAAUCUGAAUCUGGCGGAGGAACUUCGUAGCAUUAAUUUCAUUAUUAUUAAAUUUAAAUUCCAUUCAAUUCGUAUCUAAAAGCAAUUUAUUAUGUCUAUAAUAUAAAAUAAAACAAAAAAUAA